GUCGUCGUGGCGGCGGGUCGCCGCGCGGCCGCCGAGGCCGCCCGAUUUCUCCAGAACGGUCACGUCGGCGUUCGGGCGCGCCUCGUCGACG
rnacentral:tRNA from 1 species